rnacentral:rRNA from 1 species
ACCGGCGCACGGGUGAGUAACGCGUAUCCAACCUGCCCUUUACUCCGGGAUAGUCUCCUGAAAGGGAGUUUAAUACCGGAUGUGUUUGUCUUUCCGCAUGGGAGCGACAAAUAAAGAUUAAUUGGUAAAGGAUGGGGAUGCGUCCCAUUAGCUUGUUGGCGGGGUAACGGCCCACCAAGGCGACGAUGGGUAGGGGUUCUGAGAGGAAGGUCCCCCACAUUGGAACUGAGACACGGUCCAAACUCC